rnacentral:lncRNA from 1 species
UGCUAACAAAGCUCUCCCACCUCUGCAGUGGGGGCACCAUGCCCUGAUGCCCUGCUGGGGACAGCUCUUCUCAGCACUGCCCUGAGGGAGGCACAGCCUUUCUCUGCCCAUGGGAAAUCUGCUCCACAGGCUCAGCACAGCAUCCCACAAAUAACCAACUUCUCCUUUAGCAAACCCAAACCACACUUUGGUGGCACACAAGUAGUCCUUGCCUUAACCACAAAGUGCCAGGUGACACCGUGCCAGAUGCCACUCAGCUGGGGCGGGUGCCACCACAGCAAAAGAGCAGAGGCACUGGAGGGGUGUGUUGUGGCUAUGGUGGCCAGCUGAGAGUGCUUCCAGCUAAAACCAGUAAUGAACUGCCCCUGGAAGCACUUCCUUGGGCCCCAGCUUCUCCAGCUCCUUGCAGUGAAGCUGCUGCUCUAGACCCUGAUGAGCUGCUCCUGCUGCUACUGCAGAGUGAUGAUGCAGCUGUGACUGGGCUGGUCCUGGCUGCCACGGACAUUGCAGCCACCUCUUCCUUCUCCCUGCAGCACUCCUGCCACAGCAUCCAGUCCCGGCCCUGCCGGAAGCCCUCUGACUGCAGCGGCUGCCUGGGGCUCUACACCUGCAAGCUGCCUGCUGCCACCUGCGACCUGAAAUCUGUCUCCAGGCAGAGAGGUGGCUUCCUCCAAAGCAUACAGACCCCUUAGAUGGAGAGUCAAGUUCAUCUCGGAGCAGCACAGCUCAAACUAAAGCUGAAGAGGUUGUCCCACAGCUGGAAAUCAACACUUCCUGUCCAAGUUUUAUUUUAAAUCCUUAACGACACAGUUGUAAAUGUUUCUUUCAUUGUACUUCUCGUGCUGCUGCUUUUUAACACCCCCUUUGGGUUUUGUACACUAUGUAGGCUUGAUUCCCACUUUCCUGAGAGCAGCCAAUAAAGGCACUGAGUGGUCAUGGAGCCCUGUGCUG